GGAUAAAAAAGAAAAAUCUAAUUAGCUUAUUAUUUAAUCCGUUUGAACCUUUUUCAAUUUUUAAUAUUUUCAACGCCUACAAAUUAAGCUUUUACAAUGAUUUUUCGAAAUUUAUGCUUUCAAAUGCAUUUCAAAUGAUCGUUUUUAAUCUUGUGACUUGGAAAACAUAUUUACUUUUUCUCGAGUUUUAAAAAUGGCAGCAGUCUACAUUAUUUUUAAUUUUAAUAAGUUUUCCGGGCCAUAUUAGAUGGUGCGGAAAUGUUGAAAUUGAACGCUUUUUGUAACGAUUGACAAUUGUCAACAAGUUUGUCACGGUCACGGACGAUUGGAGCUCGAAUUAUUUGUUUCUUAUCCGCUUGUUAAUAGAUUUCAAUCCUCAUGAUCUGGAAUCUUUAUUCAGAUCCCGCCACGACAGCAGCGAAGAAUAAUGGCGAAAACCGGGUCGCGCGGCAGUGGGACACUUAAUUUUGUACCUUCGGAGUUGUUCGGAGGUUUUGCCGUUGCCGGAGAUAAACUUAUCAGCGAUCAUGUUGGCGGCUAAUUCAUCCUUCAACGCGCCUCGAUCAGUAACCGCAAUCCACCACUGUGCUGUAAUUGUAUUCGAUGGUGAAAUCGAAGUGCAAGUGACCUAUAUGCGCCUAUAUAUUUGCGCUUUUUAAUAAAAAGUACAUAAAUGGUCUCUGAAACAA